UCUUUCUCAGUGAACAUCAAAUUAUUUAAUUAUGAUUCAUAAAAGGACUCGAAUUGUUCCUUAUCAUCUGCUCUUUGAGGAACAAGGAGUUGUUUAGAAAACAGUUCUCUCAGAACUCAACUAAGUAGUGAUCCCCAAAAGCCAGAAAGAGUGAAAGACAGCAUUUCAACAAAUAAGUGCACAAUGUUUGAUAUGCUCAGGUGUAUCUCUAGAAUCUCUGUCCAUCUCUUCUUAACCAACUUGAUGAAUAACCAGAUCUGACCUUUUCUUGAGAAACAACUAACUGUUGCCACCCCACGCCUUCACAUCACA
rnacentral:lncRNA from 1 species